CUCACAUGGAAAACAGCACUCUACCAGACGGCACCCGACUACCCGAGCACAGCACACUUCGCCACAAACACUUAACCUGGACCAGGAGCUCAUUAAUCUGCAAAACCUGAAACUACAUAUAUCUACAAAUAAUGGCGAAAUGUCUCAUCCAGAACCAUCCGUUCGUAGUAAUUUUGGGCGUUAUACUGUUUGCCUUGUACUGUCGAACUGCCGUAGCUCAAGAGGAAGGCCAACUUUGCAAAAUUUUAGGGGUUGACACACCCCUAACGAUGUGCAUGGAAACGGCAAGAUGCGAUAUUGUACCUGUUUUUCUGGGAACAUGUUCGUCUGGACUGAAAUGUUGCCUCGUCCCUGCGAAGGAAGCUCCCGUGGAAAAUUUCAAUAAAACCGAAAUUAAUCUUUGAACA